UAGAGGGCGGGCCUGGCAAGCACAGGCUGGGUGGGAUGACCGGAAUGCAUGUGUGUCCGGGUUGCAAAAGAACCCCUCAACUCGAAAUCUAGAGUGGCCACAGCCGGGAAACUAAAGCUUCGGUUUAUUAUUAGAUGUCGGGGCCUUUCCUAUACUGCUGCCGGGUGUGAAGAGGACCCUGCCAUCAGAUCUGCACCAGUGCUCCUCUACUCACCCCCCACCACCCCGACCCGGAAGAGAUCGGAGCACGGUGAUGGAGAGUGCAACUGAGCCUUGUGGCCUUUUUGGCUAUGGAAAGAUUGUAGAAGAGGCUACUCUAUCAUAAAUACAUUAUCCAAUGGACCUGUUCCAAUGUGACAUUGAAGGAGAUGAUCCAAAUCACAGCGCUUUCGAUGCAGAAUCCAGAAUAGUCCAAAUUGAAGAUUCUUGGGACUCUGUGAUAUAUUAAGAAAUUCUAAGCCAAGGCUUAGUGUUUGUUCCUUCAAUUCUAAGUUUUUUUUCAUUUAAUUUCAGACAACACGCUCAGCUUCAUUAUAUCCAAGUUGAAGUAAAUUUAUUGCCAUUAUAACAACCAGUUCAGCUGCUUUUAUAAUAUUGUUCUUGACAUACUGCUGGGACCAUGACUUUCAUACGUUCAACCAAUUGGUUUGGGUGUUUCACAUUUCUUUGUACCAUUUGUGUAAUUCUAUUCUGGCUGGAAAAUAAGAGUGUUUGGGUUAUUGCUACCUAAUGUCAUGUUUAGUCAAAAUUCUUUUGUGUAUUCAGGUAUAAGGCAUUUAUUACUUCUAGAAUACCACCCCCAGUUGUAUCUUCCAGACAGAAACAGGCUGUCUCCCCUUCCCUCCCCUCUCUUCCUCUUCUUCCCUUUCCUCCCUUCCUCUCGCUUCUAUUUCAUUUUCUCUAAGGACCGGGAAUGGAAACUGAGUAGUGUCUAAUGGAAAUACACUGAAAUUUCAAGUUCCUCAUAUUUUGGAAUGCUCUAUAGCAUGCUCAAGAAACAAGGUGUUCAAGGAGGUUACGUUUACCUAUAAGAUGCUAUAGAAAAUGAUAUGAUAAAUGAACAAAACAGAAGAGACCACACAUUGUAAAAUAAGGGAAUAAUUCUGCAUUCUUUUUUUCUCUAUUAUUUCUUUUUAAUUCUGUAAUCUUUUUUUUUCAGAGUUGAGACUUUCUUUAAUGAAAAACAGUGUAUAGGCCAUUUCCAAGAUUUGAGCACCAAACUGUUUCUUGGGAAUGGCACAAACUUCCACAAUUUUUAAAAAAAUUAUUUAUUUAACAACCACAUACUUAGAAGAA